UCCCUGGUGGCCUAGCAGGUUAAAGAUCUGGCAUUGUCAUUGCUGUGGUUCAGGUUCUAUCCCUGGCCUGGGAA
rnacentral:tRNA from 1 species